rnacentral:rRNA from 1 species
GACGAACGCUGGCGGCGUGCUUAACACAUGCAAGUCGAGCGGUAAGGCCCGUUUCGGGGGUACACGAGCGGCGAACAGGUGAGUAACACGUGGGUGACCUGCCCUCAGCUCUGGGAUAAGCCUGGGAAACCGGGUCUAAUACUGGAUAUGACUCCAUGACGCAUGUUGUGGGGUGGAAAGCCUUGUGCGGCUGAGGAUGGGCCCGCGGCCUAUCAGCUUGUUGGUGGGGUGAUGGCCUACCAAGGCGACGACGGGUAGCCGGCCUGAGAGGGCGACCGGCCACACUGGGACUGAGACACGGCCCAGACUCCUACGGGAGGCAGCAGUGGGGAAUCUUGCGCAAUGGGCGAAAGCCUGACGCAGCGACGCCGCGUGAGGGAUGACGGCCUCGGUGUAACU